UCCUUGGUGGUCCACUGGCCAAGACUCUGUGCUCCCAAUGCAGGGGGCCCGGGUUUGAUUCCCAGUCAGGGGA
rnacentral:tRNA from 1 species